rfam:Erinaceus europaeus unplaced genomic scaffold scaffold01818, whole genome shotgun sequence
AUGUGAGGGCAAUCUGGAUGUGACAUAUGUCACCCCAUUGAUUGCCAGGGUUGAUUUGGCUGAUCUGUCUUGAUAGGCGUGUGUCCCCAUCCUCCCUCACAGCU